rnacentral:rRNA from 1 species
UACAGAGGUCUCAAGCGUUGUUCGGAUUCAUUGGGCGUAAAGGGUGCGUAGGCGGCGCGGUAAGUCGGGUGUGAAAUCUCGGAGCUUAACUCCGAAACUGCAUUCGAUACUGCCGUGCUUGAGGACUGGAGAGGAGGACUGGAAUUUACGGUGUAGCGGUGAAAUGCGUAGAUAUCGUAAGGAAGACCAGUGGCGAAGGCGGGUCUCUGG